rnacentral:rRNA from 1 species
UACACUCCUGCGGGAGGCAGCAGUGGGGAAUAUUGGACAAUGGGCGCAAGCCUGAUCCAGCCAUGCCGCGUGAGUGAUGAAGGCCCUAGGGUUGUAAAGCUCUUUCACCGGAGAAGAUAAUGACGGUAUCCGGAGAAGAAGCCCCGGCUAACUUCGUGCCAGCAGCCGCGGUAAUACGAAGGGGGCUAGCGUUGUUCGGAAUUACUGGGCGUAAAGCGCACGUAGGCGGAUCGAUCAGUCAGGGGUGAAAUCCCAGGGCUCAACCCUGAAACUGCCUUUGAUACUGUCGAUCUGGAGUAUGGAAGAGGUGAGUGGAAUUCCGAGUGUAGGGGUGGAAUUCGUAGAUAUUCGGAGGAACACCAGUGGCGAAGGCGGCUCACUGGUCCAUUACUGACGCUGAGGUGCGAAAGCGUGGGGAGCAAACAGGAUUAGAAACCCUAGUAGUCCCA